AUGGGAAUAUAUUGGGCCCACAUGUGGCCAUCAGUGGAGUUGAGAUGUACUAUGUCUUCUCUUCUCCCAAACCAGGCCGAGCUUUGUGAGCCCAAAGCCUGGGAGUUUAUGGUUUUAUUUCUCAUCAAGGAUGUUGGGGGACUUGAAACCUCGGUAGAUGACCGGCUAGUUCAUUUUCUCAUGGCGGUGUUCGAUCCCCCUAGCAGUUAUGUGGGCUAUCUUCAUCCUGAUAUGCAACGGAGGGAGUAUUUGAUUAGAAUUGUUAUCUACAAUGACGCCAGUUCAACUUAUAAUUUCUUGUACUCGUAUCGUAAAUGA
rnacentral:rRNA from 1 species